rnacentral:ncRNA from 1 species
CAUCGUGAGGUGGAAUCUGAAGGAAGCCGGAUUGCGGAGGUUGAAAGGUCUACCGCAGGGCAAAGUUUCGGGCCGACGAACAGAAAUCUCAUAUAAGGCUGAAUAGGGACGGACGACCCUGCGCAGCAAGGAGAAGUCCAAUGCUACCCGAAUCCCUUACAGUAGAUGAGACGGCUGCGAGAUGAAGGUUAU